ACGAGGGAAUGGGAGCACAGGAGGAGAGCACAGCUGGGAGUAAUCAAAUACAACAAGAGCAGGGGAAGCCAAACUAGGCACACUGACGCGACGAAGGCUGUGCAAAUUCAAAGAGUCCUCCAAAUGUGGCGACAAACGCCUCCUUGUUUUCCCCGAAUUCGAAGGAUGGCUCGGCGUAUCUUUCGGGUCCUACCCUAUCCCAGGAUUCAUUGCGGGCCAUACAGGAGUUUUUCUGAUAACCAUGGCGGUCGAAACGGGAGUUAAUGCGGGAGAGGAAACGCUUUCAAAUGACCCAAGAUCUACAUCACUGGGGACGGCUACAUCCGCCGUGGGGAAGCACGAGCGAAGGACCCCAUUGGGACCAACCUCGGUCUGGAUGCACCGCUCCGGUGGUUCGGCUGGGGUGGGAUGGUUUGGAAAAGCCUGAUCCCUUUUCUCUCUCAAUGCCGUCAAGGAAGAUUCGUACCAUAUGUCCUGGUGAUCCCGGAAUAAUAUCCGGACUUGUCAUCGACUCAUGCCACCUCACGACACAGCUACAGCAUUUAAAUGAAGUACAAUCAUUUCUGCUGUUCACAAAUAAGGACUCACAGGCUGCACAAUCCUCGGCUACUCCUCAGGAAAAUAUCUGUAACGUUGCUGUUUCACUUCAGCUGCAUGAAUCGUGUCUCACAUAAUCUUCCUAUGAACAUCUUCCCUGAUUUCUAGUGUAUUGUGUACUGUAACUUAUUUUCAAAAGGGAUUAUUUGCUACAAAAACAGUGACUGGGUUCUAUCAGAGUGAGUUGGACAGACUUGCAUGAGCUGUAAUAUUUGUAUGUAUUUGAUGAAGGCUCAUAAGGGUCAAGUUAAUUUUGUAGAGAGAGUUUGUACUUUCAGAGAAAUAUUGUAAUGAUUUCGGGCGUGUAAAUUUCAAGCAGGAACCUCAGAAACAAACUUGGUGUUUAAGAGGUUAACGAUGUUUGUGUCAUCUCACAAUGCAAAGAGACUCCAUGACAGCAGCAGGUGUUACUGUAUUAUAUCAGAACUGGAUCCAGCAGAAAUGUAUUGACCUGUUAAUGUGUUUGAUGAAGAGAUGCCUGAGAUGCCUUAUUUCCACCACUGUUGCAUAUCCGGGUUUUAAAACUAUGCGACCAGGUCGGGGUGAUCACCUGGGACUUGAAAGAGGGAGUGGCUAAACCACACAUUACAAAGUGUAAUAAGGUGGCAGCCAUCACCGAUGGGGAGAUUGUAGUGAACCGUGUUUGAGGAGUUCUCCAAAGUCCACGAGGGGGGGCCUCAUAUAUAAUAAGGGGGCAUGAACUGAGAGGCACAGCUCCCCCUUAGGUCAUAAUCAUCACUGCAUGGACUCAGUUUUUCAGGGCACCUGCCCUUCCACUGGCAGAAGGUCUUACUGCGAAAGCGGAGGAUCUUCUGCAUCCUCCUGGCCUGUAACGACGCCAAAGAUGAGCUCAACCAAGGGGGGCUUAUGACAACAGAAGGGGAGGUCGUGGAGGUCAGUAUCGGUGGUCCCAUCAGAACUGCUAUUGCUUUAGCUUUUCAAAGAAACCGUUAUUGUUUUUAUGCAUUUACCAGUCAAAAUUGUUGUCAAUCAAACACUAAAUUGUGGGAACAUGAACAACCACUGUUAUUUUAUCAUUUGUGUUUCUGGUAUUCAUACAGUCCAUUUCCAUCAUGCCUACAUACAUUUGUAUUGUAUGGGCUAGAUUACACUCAACAGUCUUUAUGUGCUCGCUAACAAUGAUGGAAGGAUUAGAUUAUAUCGUUUUAAAUGCACAGACAAACGGCUUUAGUGAGUGUUGUAUACAAUGAAAACAAAAGGAGGAACAAUGGAAGUAGUCGACAUAUAAUGUAGUGAAAGCUGUCGCUUAAGCAUGGGUUUAAAGGAAAAUACUCAAACGUGUUGUGUGUCCAAGGUGUUUGUAGAUUCGUCAAGAAACAAACACCUGUCACGGAUCUAUACACUCACUAUAACUGACGUUAAUUUUAAUGGACUUUUCCGUGUUUGGCAGUGAGGAAGGUUGUCAGGGAAACAACACAUUCCUAUUAAAAACUCUCCAGCUGAAGCAGGUAAUGCUGCACCUGAAGUGUGAUACUGACAGCUGAAAGUCAUCUGGUACAUUUGGCGGAUGGUUGAACCAUGACAGUCUCCCUGUGGAGGGAGGCAGCCAUUCACCACUUUGUGACCACAUAAAGGUCUCACAUGUGAAGCUGAACCAGUGUGCGUAUGGUCCACAGCUGCACACAGCUGCACACCGCAUCAUUCACGAAGACUGCGGAAUGAAGAAGCCAUAUGUUCGUACCAACAUGUAACAGCAAUGUCACAUUAACAAAAUAUUUAGAAUGAUGGGUUUUGAAAUGUAAACAGAUGCACUGUGUUGGUCAAAAUAUGACAUCAUACUAUCCAGAAAUGAUUUCAUCAUCUGUUGUUUUUAAUGUUUAUUCAACUGUAUUCUAAGCUGCCUGUUGUCCCAUGACCUCAUACUGCUUGUUUUUUCUUUUUCUUUUUUUUUUUCUUUUAUCUUGUUGCAUAAAAAUGUUCCUAAACAAAUAAAAAUAAAAAA